GAUGAGCGCUAGCGGCAGGCCUAACACAUGCAAGUCGAGGGGUAACUAGAGUGAUAGCAAUAUUACUUUGGCUAGACCGGCGCACGGGUGCGUAACACGUAUGCAACCUACCUUAUACUGGGGAAUAACUUCGAGAAAUCGGCGCUAAUACCCCAUAACAUUGCGAAGAGGCAUCUCUUUGCAAUUAAAGCUCCGGCGGUAUUAGAUGGGCAUGCGUCCAAUUAGCUAGUUGGUGAGGUAACGGAUCACCAAGGCUACGAUUGGUAGGGGUUCUGAGAGGAUGAGCCCCCACACUGGUACUGAGACACGGACCAGACUCCUACGGGAGGCAGCAGUGAGGAAUAUUGCGCAAUGGACGAAAGUCUGACGCAGCCAUGCCGCGUGCAGGAUGACGGCCCUAUGGGUUGUAACUGCUUUUGUACGGGAAUAAACCCUUCUACGUGUAGGAGGCUGAAGGUACCGUAAGAAUAAGCACCGGCUAACUCCGUGCCAGCAGCCGCGGUAA
rnacentral:rRNA from 1 species